AAUACGUUCCCGGCCUUGUACACACCGCCCGUCACACCACGAAAGUCGGCAACACCCGAAGCCGGUGGCCUAACCCGUAAGGGGAGGAGCCGUCGAAGGUGGGGUCGGUGAUUGGGGUG
rnacentral:rRNA from 1 species